rnacentral:rRNA from 1 species
GACGAGCGCUGGCGGCGUGCUUAACACAUGCAAGUCGAACGAUGAAGCCGGAGCCUGCUCCGGUGGAUUAGUGGCGAACGGGUGAGUAACACGUGAGCAAUCUGCCCUUGACUCUGGGAUAACUGCGGGAAACUGUAGCUAAUACCGGAUACGACACCUUGGGGCAUCCCAGGGGGUGGAAAGAAUUUCGGGCAAGGAUGAGCUCGCGGCCUAUCAGCUAGUUGGUGAGGUAAUGGCUCACCAAGGCGACGACGGGUAGCCGGCCUGAGAGGGUGACCGGCCACACUGGAACUGAGACACGGUCCAGACUCCUACGGGAGGCAGCAGUGGGGAAUAUUGCACAAUGGGCGAAAGCCUGAUGCAGCAACGCCGCGUGAGGGAUGAAGGCCUUCGGGUUGUAAACCUCUUUUAGCAGGGAAGAAGCGAAAGUGACGGUACCUGCAGAAAAAGCACCGGCUAACUACGUGCCAGCCGCCGCAGUAA